rnacentral:lncRNA from 1 species
AAGGGGUCUGCAGAUCUUGGCCCAUGAGAACCUUCUCUAAGGGCUUUAUGUAGAGGAGACAUCAAUGCCAUCAAAUGGGGGAGCCAUCCCUACUGUGAACUACUGUGAUUUAUUCCUGAGGAAGCCAGUCUCUUCCUGGGGGCUGGAUACUCAAUGGUGUCACCUACCCAACUCCCAUAUAAAGAAAAAGAAAUGACAAUAGGGGAUCAGCACUUGAGGUGCCAUUACUUAAGUCAAGCAAGCAAAAUUCUCACUGUCUGGAAAAGACCAUCUCUCUGUGCCUCAGUUUCCUCAUCUGUAACAUAUAUCUUCAUAUGACAGUGGUAAGAAAUAAAUAAAAAUGAAGUACUUAGAAUAGAGUCUGGCAGAGUAUCUGUUCAAAUGUUAGCCAUCGGUGUUAGUACAUCACGUGAAAUUAACUGAUUUUUCUCUGUGUCUUUCCUCUAGGAAACAAUUUGGAGAUUCCAAUCUGAUCCUCUCCCAUGUGAUCCCUUGUACCCAUUCUCUUUCUGUACCACACACAAUAAACUUGGAGAAUGUCAAGUAAUCCAUGUGUUUCCGAUUUGUGUCUUGAAAAACCUGUAUGAUUGUUCAGACUGAACUAUCAAUACACCCUUUCCCUUAUUGUCAACCUAUUGGUUAUUGCCCAUUUUGUAAGCAACAGUGCCUUAAGGCCAAAAUUGCACAGCACUAUCAAAAGAGCUACCAGAGAAAUCUCAUUUCAAUGCACUUAGCUUUAGUUUCAUUAUGCAACACUUAUUUCCUGAGUUUAAGCAUAAACCCAAGAUGGUCACCAUUAUGGCAAUUUUUCCAUUACCUUAUUACUACCUGUUAGUAUUCAGAUAUUUAAAAAUAUACCAAAGACCAAUUUUUAAAUAUCCUUCUCAUGGCAGACACUUUGCCCAUGAGAAAUCUGAAACGCAUUUGAGUUUAUACUUCUGUCUAAUUUAAAUAUUUUAUUCUCUAUUGAAAUGUCAUCUGUAUUUAAAAAUCUUCCCCAGGAAUUCUGAUGCACAUCCAGGUUUAGGAACCUUUUAUUUUUAUCCUUUCUGAUAAUCAACACAUGCAAUAUGGCAUUGGUGUGAUGGUAAUAGUUAUAUAGCAGAGUGUUUUCCAGAAUAUUAAAGAGACUAAUUUACAAAAAUCAUUCAGGUGUGUAUCACACCAGCAGUAUUCACCAUGUUGCCAAUAAGUCAUCCUGAGCUGUCUGCUAGCACAGUGAGAAGCUAUUUCAAGUUCUCUUCUCAAGAGACUCCCAGGCUGGUAGUGCAAACUAAAUCAAGAUGAAGCUAAUUGCUGAGCUCUAUUACUGGAGCGGAAAAUAUUGCACCAUCUUUGUUUAAGACUGAAUCUCCAUGACAACGCCAGUUAAGAGGCUGGGCUAAUAUUCUUCCUUUCCUUACUUAUAGAGCCACAAGUCAUAGCCUUUUGUGGGCAAAAUGAGUUGAUACAUCCUUAGGCGACCAUUUCAAGCUCCUUGGAAGGGCAACUCUGAAUUUGUUUAUCCAGGAAGUCCUCAAAGGGAUUACUGUUUUCAAACUUCUGUUGAUGAUUUUCAUGCUUUCCUGCCCAAUGAGGUACUGAGGACUGUCAGAAUAACCAUUGCUCCAAAUACCACUGCUAUUAAAAAUUCACUGUGAUUUUAGAAAGAGGCAAACUUGUGCACAGGUUAAGACGGAGGGUUAACCUGUGCACCAGGUCUUAGCACUUAGUCCUGGGUGCUAAGCCCUGCUUUGCCCUGUUCUCUAUUGUGAUGUGAGCACACAACUUAUUAUCUAUGCUUAUUUUUUUCUCUUCUUCCAGAUGAGUGUAAUAUUUGUAACUACCUUAUAGGGUUGUGUACAUUAAUUAGUGCAUGUAAUUAUUUAAAGCAAUGCUUGUUAUGUAAUAUAAUGGUCAAUAAUUUGUUGAUACCCUUAUUAUGAUUUGGGGUUAGUAGAUGCAAACUAUGACAUUUAGAAUGGAUAAACAAUGAGGUCCUACUGUACAGCACAGGGAACUAUGUCCAGUCUCUUGGGAUAGACCAUGAUGGAAAACAAUAUAAGAAAUGUGUGUGUAUGUGUGUGUGUGCAUGUAUACACACACACACACACACAUAUAUAUAUAUGAUUGGGUCACUUUGCUAUACAGUAGCAACUGAUACAAUAUUAUAAAUCAACUGUACUAAAAUAAUUAAUUCAUUAGAAUUAAAUACAAUUUAAAAAAAUUGUUCCUCAGUUGCACUGGCCAUAUUCCGCAUGCAUACAUAAGCUUAUGACUACUCUAUUGGACAGAGAGAAUAGAGAAUAUGGAUAGCAUCUCAAAAAAUUCUACUGGGUGGCUGAGCCAUAACCUAGAGAAAAGAAAAGGAGGACUAGAACUUCCUUUAGAGAGGAGAUAUGUUUUAUUCUCAGCAAUCUGCUGAUUGUGAAAAUAUUCUACAGACUCUCUGGGAACACUGAGCCCCAUUUCUUUUGUAGCGCCUAGUAAAUUGUGCUUUGCAUUGUGGACUGUGCGAUUAAUAUUAACAAAACAAAAAUAUUUUCCAGAAACAUUUCUCUCUCAGUUGGGAGAAAAGAUUCCCCAUUCCUUUUAUACACUAUUUAAAUUUCUCUGUAUUUAAGGAUUCUGUAGCUGCACAUAAUUCUUGAAAAGCAGGCAAGGUGGCUACUUUGUAGUCAUCAUGUGUCUCAUAGUAGAACUCUGCAGCUAGUGGAGAGAAUGAUUUCCUUAAUCACCACCCAAAGGGAAGCCAUGUGCAUGUUUACUUGUCAUGCCAAUGUUGCUCAACAAUGGAAAAUACAAGUUAAAUAUUCAAAGAUAGAAACCCAGGCAGCAUGUUUCUACCACUUUUCACCUGUGUGUGGUCAAUUCUGGAAUUCUAACAUUGGCUGGAAAAUGCUAGGUCCAUUUCCUUGGAAUCAAAUUAACAUGUAUUAUUUGCCCUAUGACUGGUCAGUCACUGACAUCACUGCCUGGCAGGUACUUUGAGAAUGUUUGAGAAUGAGGGGGAAAUACAAGUACAAAGCAAAAGAUGUCUACAGUUCCAACAAGCCAAAGUUUUAUGUGAAUCUUAAACAGUUAGUGAUGUUAUGCAUUGUCUAGAGGGGUCUCUGCUAUCUGUUUAUAUUUUGGGAGAAUCUGUAAUGUAAAACUAGCAUGGGAAACUAAGAACUAGAGCCAGUAUAGUAUACUUGAUCCCAUACCAGCUCUAUCAAGCUGGUUGAGUACACUACAGCCCAGGAGGGACCUCUCCCAGCAUCUCUGAUGCUCAUUCCAAAACUCAAGCUGUAAAAGGGCUGCAUGGAAUUCCUGGCAGCCUGGUGGUUACAGAUUUGGCAUUGUCAUUGCCAUGGUGCAGGUUCAUUCCCUGGCCCAAGAAAUUCCACAUGCCGUGGGUGUGGACAUUUUUUAAAAAAACAAGGGUGCAUAAGGGAUUGAGAAAGCAAAAUUUUGAGCUUUCAUUCAAGUUAUACAUUUUUUAAGUAUGAAAUUGAUUAUAUUGAUUAUAUUGAUCACUACAUACUUUAAAUAAAAGUAUUAAUGAGUGCAGAAAGGAUUUUUAAAAAUCACACACUUAAGAAGUUCCCUUAUGGAGAAGUGGACUAACAAUCCCGAGUUGUCACUGUACCAGCUCGGGUCGCUGUGGUGGCAUGGGUUUGAUCCCUGGCUUAGGAAUUUCUACAUGCUGCCAGUGCCC